UUGCACUGUUGACUGAGUGGGUUGCCAUUACUUGGUAUCCUUCCAUCAUUUGGGUGCUAGAUAAGCCUCAGUUAGCAGAAGGGCCGGGCCACAUGACUGGUGCUUCCCUUUCGAAGGCUGAGAACAAAU
ensembl:snoRNA